CCCAGUUCUCUGCUCUGAGCUUUGUCUCCUCCAAGGGCAGGGCGCUGGUGUGAACUCUGAGGUCCGUCAGUCACUGCCGCAGCCCAGCUCUGAGGGGCUGUGGGGGGAGUGUUCUGAGACAGGUCGCUGCUGGUAGCCCCAGGCAGAUACAGAUGCAGACACAGACACAGAGAUGCUCCAGGACUCCCUCAGGGUCUCCCAGCUAGUCACUGUCAGCGUCUGGGGGCAGGGCACCAUGUCUCCCGCUGCCCAGUGCCCAGCUCACACCACCAGACGCCCUUUCCUCUCCCCCAAAUCUGUUCAGCCCAGACAGCUCCGGCUGCAUCCUGCAGCCUCUCUUGGGUGACCUGGACAUGCUGCAAACUGUGUUGUGCAGGAGUUUCUCUCCAAGGAGACCAAGGGAGAAGGUCACUGGAUUGGUCUCACUGACUGGGGGACAGAAGGCAGCUGGCGCUGGGUGGAUGGCACAGACUACAGAGCAGACGCAAGCAGGGGGUUCUGGUCGCAGAAUCAGCCAGACAACUGGGAUCAGGGGACAGAAGGCCGAGAAGACUGUGUUGAGACCCGCACAUUGGAGCUGAAGCGGUGGAAUGAUGCCAACUGCACUCUGCCUUCUAAGUGGAUUUGUAAGCAGGCCCAUGGACAGGCUGGGCUGUGACAUGCAGGUCCCAGCACCUCAGAAAGCGCCUUAAUUUACAAGCUAUGGAGCAUGUUUUCCAGACACCUGCCGAUGAGGAGCCCUGUGCACUGGAGGGGGGGCGCAUGGGAUGUGCAUCGCAGGGACGCUUUGUCUUGGUGUGAUAUUUGUGGCUAUAGCAGAGACAGCUGCCUUAUGCCGCUCAGUGUGGCUGGCUCUGUAAUUUGUAUGUUUCCUGGUCUGUCACUGAAUAAAGUCCUUGGCUCAUGGAGUUAUUGUUUCACAAUCACCCAAUAAAUAAUGAUUUGCUUGA